rnacentral:rRNA from 1 species
GGGAUAUUGCACAAUGGGCGCAAGCCUGAUGCAGCAACGCCGCGUGAAUGAAGACGGUCUUCGGAUUGUAAAGUUCUGUUCUUAGUGAAGAUAAUGACGGUAGCUAAGGAGCAAGCCACGGCUAACUACGUGCCAGCAGCCGCGGUAAUACGUAGGUGGCAAGCGUUGUCCGGAUUUACUGGGUGUAAAGGGAGCGCAGGCGGGGAUUCAAGUUGGAUGUGAAAUGUCACGGCUUAACCGUGGAACUGCAUCCAAAACUGAAUUUCUUGAGUGGAGUAGAGGCAAGCGGAAUUCCGAGUGUAGCGGUGAAAUGCGUAGAUAUUCGGAGGAACACCAGUGGCGAAGGCGGCUUGCUGGGCUCUAACUGACGCUGAGGCUCGAAAGUGUGGGGAGCAAACA